GAAUUCUAGUUUUGAACCUACAAAAGAAAUGAACACCUCUAUUCUGAGAUUUUAAUAGAUUUUCACAAGUACUGUCACGGGCGUAGAAGUUACCUGGAAGUAGAAGUUACCUCUGGAACACAGGAAAGAGCGAUGCGGUACGUGUGCAAGCUGUGUACACUCACCCUGGCGUCACAGUUUCCUCCUAUUGAUGACGUUGCCUUGUUGCGUUUGGACAAGCCUGUCGAACUAGGAGAGUUUGUAUCUCCAAGCUGUUUGCCAGUACACUACUUUCCAGAUGUAUGACUGCUGGAUGGGGAUUCACUGAACCACAUCGUGAAUAUAUUCACUGCCUCUUCCAAGAUUAGAAUCCAAACAAAUACACGUGAAGUCUGAAUAUACUCUCUAUUCAUUUUCAAUUGUUCUGUAUUUUUAAUAGAAAUGAUUGUAGAAAAAGUCUUUUUCCUAAUGGAUUUAAAGGUGACUGCUUGGGUUUUAGGUCAUCAUAUUUAUUGAUGUUAGUUCACUGAUGAG